ensembl:lncRNA
CAGACACAUGGCAAUGGAAAAGACACCAGCAGAAACUACAGCAGCAACAGGAGUAGCAACAAUAGCAGAAGCAGCAUUAGGCACAGCAGCAGCAGGAGGAGGAGAACGAGGAGGGUAGGAGGAGGAGGAGGAAGAGGAAGAGAGGAGGAGAAAGAAGAGGAGGAGGAGGAAGAGAAGGAAGAGGAGGAGAAAGAGGAGGAUGAACAGCAGGGGGAAGAUUUUGAUUCCCUGUCCCCGUGAGAAUUGCUGAUGACUACUUCUGGACACAGAUAUCAUGCUGAGAACUGUUUAUCAAAAUGAUUUAACAGAAUAUUAAUUUUCAUAGAAGACAUGUCAAUGUUCCUGAGGGCAUGCAGCCCUGGAAAAGAGAGCCAGAUGGCUGAGGCAAGCAGUGUGGAAUGUUCUUACUGAGGAAGACCUUCUCAAAGCUGAUGAUGUAAUAGGCAUGAAGGAGCAUUUCAUGGGAGUCACGGUCCCAUGCCCCUGUGUCAGGGCACACAGAGCUCCUAGCCUUGCAUCCUGCGUGAGAGGGGACCUGGAAUAUUCCCUGAUCCCCACAGGGUCCUGGAUUGCUUGGUUCCCCCUCAAUCAUGGUCCUCCCUGUGCCCCAUGGGGUCCGCAGCUUCUACGGGCUGAAUUUAUAUCAGUGAUUAACUGGAGCUGGACCACAACCACACCACAGGCAAGCCCUGGGCACUGAGGACAUUAAGAGCAGCAGACAACAUCUCCUCCGCUGCUUCUGACUCUGCUCCACAAGCCUAUGUAGAUGUUCCUGAGGUAGGUUCAUCAGAGACAUCCUAUGCCAUGGCAUGGAGGCUCCCAAGAACUUCUACGAUCAAUAUGAGCCACACAAGAGCCCACAGUCCAUCCUGGGAGAACAUUAAAGUAUCUGGAAUUAUCAGGGACCCUAAGGCUUACCAGAGCAUGAAAAUGAAAUGGCCACCUCCUGUAACAAGAAACACUUCUAGAAGAGGAAGGAGACAUCAAUACAUUCACAAAAUCUUCAACUCGAAAUCUGUCUUGCCAAUAAGUGUGCAGGGAUAAAGGUAAAGCAGAUAUU